rnacentral:rRNA from 1 species
UACGGAGGGGGCUAGCGUUGUUCGGAAUUACUGGGCGUAAAGCGCGCGUAGGCGGACCUGCAAGUCGGGGGUGAAAGCCCGAGGCUCAACCUCGGAACUGCCUUCGAUACUGCGGGUCUCGAGUCCGGGAGAGGUGAGUGGAAUUCCUAGUGUAGAGGUGAAAAUUCGUAGAUAUUAGGAAGAACACCAGUGCGAAGGGCGGCUCACUGCCCGGUACGUGACGCUGAGG